GCAGGCGCGAAACCUUUACACUGCACGACAGUGCGAUAGGGGGAUCCCAAGUGCACAGGCAUAGCGCCUGUGCUUUUCGGUACCCUAAGGCGGUACCAGAAUAAGGGCUGGGCAAGACCGGUGCCAGCCGCCGCGGUAAUACCGGCAGCCCAAGUGAUGGCCGAUCUUAUUGGGCCUAAAGCGUCCGUAGCUGGCCGUACAAGUCCAUCGGGAAAUCCACCUGCUCAACAGGUGGGCGCCCGGUAGAAACUGUGCGGCUUGGGACCGGAAGGCGCGACGGGUACGUCCGGGGUAGGAGUGAAAUCCCGUAAUCCUGGACGGACCGCCGAUGGCGAAAGCACGUCGCGAGAACGGAUCCGACAGUGAGGGACGAAAGCCAGGGUCUCGAACCGGAUUAGAUACCCGGGUAGUCCUGGCCGUAAACAAUGUCUGCUAGGUGUGGCUCCCACUACGAGUGGGUGCUGUGCCGUAGGGAAGCCGCUAAGCAGACCGCCUGGGAAGUACGUCCGCAAGGAUGAAACUUAAAGGAAUUGGCGGGGGAGCACUACAACCGGAGGAGCCUGUGGUUUAAUUGGAUUCAACGCCGG
rnacentral:rRNA from 1 species